rnacentral:rRNA from 1 species
AGCAGCCGCGGUAAUUCCAGCUCCAAUAGCGUAUAUUAAAGCUGUUGCAGUUAAAAAGCUCGUAGUUGAAUUUCGGGAUCAAUAUGUUGGUCGUGCCUUGGUACGUACUGGCAUUAUUGGUUUCUACCUUCUGAAGAACCUCGAUGUCAUUAAUUUGGUGUCUUGGGGAAUCAGGACUGUUACUUUGAAAAAUUAGAGUGUUUAAAGCAGGCUCGCGCUUGAAUACAUUAGCAUGGAAUAAUGAAAUAGGACGUUUGAUUCUAUCUUGUUGGUUUCUAGGAUUGACGUAAUGAUUAAUAGGGAUAGUUGGGGGCAUUAGUAUUCAAUUGUCAGAGGUGAAAUUCUUGGAUUUAUUGAAGACUAACUACUGCGAAAGCAUUUGCCAAGGAUGUUUUCAUUAAUCAAGAACGAAAGUUAGGGGAUCGAAGACGAUCAGAUACCGUCGUAGUCUUAACCAUAAACUAUGCCGACUAGGGAUCGGAUGAUGUUAAUUUUUAANGA